rnacentral:rRNA from 1 species
CAAUAGCGUAUAUUAAAGUUGUUGCAGUUAAAAAGCUCGUAGUUGGAUUUCUGGUUGAAGCGACCGGUCGGGCGUUGAUUCGUCUGCACUGGAGUCGGUUUUGGCCAUCCUCUAGGAGAGUGCGUCUGGUAUUAAGUUAUCGGGCGUAUGAUCCUGGUCUUUUACUGUGAAAAAAUUAGAGUGUUUAAAGCGGGCCUUCGCCUUGAAUACAUUAGCAUGGAAUAAUAAGAUAGGACUUUGGUCUAUUUUGUUGGUUUGCAGACCGAAGUAAUGAUUAAUAGGGAUAGUUGGGGGUAUUUAUAUUCCGAUGUCAGAGGUGAAAUUCUUAGAUUUUCGGAAGAUAAACUUAUGCGAAAGCAUUUACCAAGGAUGUUUUCAUUAA